UUAAUACUCCCUCCGUCCGGAAAUACUUGUCAUCAAAAUGAAUAAAAGGGGAUGUAUCUAGAUGUAUUUUAGUUCUAGAUACAUCCCUUUUUGUCCAUUUUGAUAACAAGUAUUUUCGGACGGAGGGAGUACAGC
rnacentral:pre_miRNA from 1 species